GUAACAAAGAGUUUCACAAAAAAGGGACUACAGAAGGCAUGGCAACUUAUAAAGCUUCCCAAGUUGGUCGCAAAAAACCUAGAGAUUGCAACAAGGAGAGCAACCCGAUGGCGCCGCAACCAAGUGAAAUGCAAGGAGAUUCAAAUCCUGCUGAACCACCACCAGAUUGCAAUGAGGAGAGAAACCCAAUGGCGCCGGAAGAAAGUGAAACACAAGGAAAUUCAGAUCUUGCAGAACCGCCAC